CAGCAAGAACAGAGUUGGAAGCAGGCUCCAGCCGGGAACGGUACAAAAAAAUGUCCAAAAGAGCAGGAAUCCAAUGGGAUUUUACAUAUUCCUCGGAGACCAGAAUCCGGUGGGAAGGCUGAGAGAAGGAAACAAAGCC